GGCUCGGUAGCUCAGCUGGUUAGAGCGUCGGAUUCAUAACCCGGAGGUCGGCGGUUCAAGUCCGCCUCGAGCCACCA
rnacentral:tRNA from 3 species